rnacentral:rRNA from 1 species
AUUGAACGCUGGCGGCAUGCUUUACACAUGCAAGUCGAACGGUAACAGGCCGCAAGGUGCUGACGAGUGGCGAACGGGUGAGUAAUGCAUCGGAACGUGCCCAGUCGUGGGGGAUAACGCAGCGAAAGCUGUGCUAAUACCGCAUACGAUCUAUGGAUGAAAGCGGGGGACCGUAAGGCCUCGCGCGAUUGGAGCGGCCGAAGUCAGAUUAGGUAGUUGGUGGGGUAAAGGCUCACCAAGCCAACGAUCUGUAGCUGGUCUGAGAGGACGACCAGCCACACUGGGACUGAGACACGGCCCAGACUCCUACGGGAGGCAGCAGUGGGGAAUUUUGGACAAGGGGCGCAAGCCUGAUCCAGCAAUGCCGCGUGCAGGAAGAAGGCCUUCGGGUUGUAAACUGCUUUUGUACGGAACGAAACGGCGAGCUCUAAUACAGUUUGCUAAUGACGGUACCGUAAGAAUAAGCACCGGCUAACUACGGGCCAGCCGCCGCAGUAG